rnacentral:siRNA from 1 species
GUAUCAAUUUUUACACUGGUCCCA